CCUACGGGUGGCAGCAGUGAGGAAUAUUGGUCAAUGGACGAGAGUCUGAACCAGCCAAGUCGCGUGAAGGAUGACUGUCCUAUGGGUUGUAAACCUCUUUUAUAAAGGAAUAAAACGAGGCACGUGUCCCCUUUUGCAUGUACUUUAUGAAGAAGGAUCGGCUAACUCCGUGCCAGCAGCCGCGGUAAUACGGAGGAUCCGAGCGUUAUCCGGAUUUAUUGGGUUUAAAGGGAGCGUAGAUGGGUUGUUAAGUCAGUUGUGAAAGUUCGCGGCUCAACCGUCAGAUUGCCAUUGAUACUGGCAGUCUUGAGUAGGGUAGAGGUAGGCGGAAUUCGUGGUGUAGCGGUGAAAUGCUUAGAUAUCACGAAGAACCCCGAUUGCGAAGGCAGCUUACUAAACUGUGACUGACAUUGAUGCUCGAAAGUGUGGGUAUCAAACAGGAUUAGAUACCCGUGUAGUC
rnacentral:rRNA from 1 species